UACAGAGGGUGCAAGCGUUGUUCGGAAUUACUGGGCGUAAAGCGCAUGUAGGCGGCUUAUUAAGUCGGAUGUGAAAUCCCUUGGCUUAACCGAGGAACUGCAUUCGAUACUGGUAAGCUUGAGUGUCGGAGGGGAUGGUAGAAUUCCUGGUGUAGAGGUGAAAUUCGUAGAUAUCAGGAGGAAUACCUGUGGCGAAGGCGACCAUCUGGAAGACAACUGACGCUGAGAUGCGAAAGCGUGGGUAGCAAACAGGAUUAGAUACCCCAGUAGU
rnacentral:rRNA from 1 species